GUCUCUAUAGUUUAAAUGGGAAAACACUGGACCGCAACUCCAAGAAAUCUUGGUUCGAAUCCGAGUAGAGACU
rnacentral:tRNA from 1 species